UACGUAGGGGGCUAGCGUUGCUCGGAAUCACUGGGCGUAGAGGGUGCGUAGGCGGGUCUUUAAGUCAGGGGUGAAAUCCUGGAGCUCAACUCCAGAACUGCCUUUGAUACUGAAGAUCUUGAGUCCGGGAGAGGUGAGUGGAACUGCGAGUGUAGAGGUGAAAUUCGUAGAUAUUCGCAAGAACACCAGUGGCGAAGGCGGCUCACUGGCCCGGUACUGACGCUGAGGCACGAAAGCGUGGGGAGCAAACAGG
rnacentral:rRNA from 1 species